UACGUAGGGGGCUAGCGUUGUCCGGAAUCAUUGGGCGUAAAGCGCGCGUAGGCGGCCCGGUAAGUCCGUUGUGAAAGUCAAAGGCUCAACCUUUGAAGGCCGAUGGAUACUGCCGGGCUGGAGUCCGGAAGAGGCGAGUGGAAUUCCUGGUGUAGCGGUGGAAUGCGCAGAUAUCAGGAGGAACACCAAUAGCGAAGGCAGCUCGCUGGGACGGUACUGACGCUGAGGCGCGAAAGCGUGGGGAGCGAACAGG
rnacentral:rRNA from 1 species